UGGAGUCGGGUUUACGUGGCCAGAGUUAAGCGUGCCCCUGAAACACCCGCGGUUUCAAGGUGAGACAGGCGAGCAGCCCCCCUCAGGAUCCUAGUGCCAUGUCUCCCAUUUCACAGAAUAUUCUGAAUUGAAAGGAACCCGUAAGAAUCAUCGGGUGCACCUCUCCAGUGAAUGGCCCAUACACGGAUUGAAGCCACAGGCUUGGCACUACUAGAACCAGGCUCUCUUUCAGGGGCCUGUAGUAGUCCCCUGAAAACACUUGCUUUACUCCACACACUUAGGAACUUGUUAGGCAAAGCUAGAGACGGGCUGAGCCCAGAUGUGACACAUCUGCUUCAGUGGUGAGCCACUUUAGCUGGUGGAAAUGGAGGAAGAUGCUUUCUUGCCAGGUAGAGGCAGUGGAAGGAGGAAGAAGCUGCCUUUGGUAGCUGAGAUGAGACACUUCUGACUGCAAAGAGCAACUGCGUGAGUAAGACAAGGAGCUAGGGAAGGAAGAUCAAGAUGGGCCAUUUGUAAAUGCUGUAGCAGUGGCAGGACCAAGAUAAUGUGACUGAAAUUAGCAGCAGCCUGGUGGUCAGUGAGGUGUGGGUGAAUCCAUUUAGGUUCAUGUGAGUCAAAACAAGAUGAGCCAGAACAGGGAUGGAGUGAUGCUGUAAAAAUAGAUGGCGGGAGGAGAAGAGAGUGAUUAAAGUCUCGCUUGACAGAGAGACACUUUGGUUAGACAGUAUGAUUGGGUGAAAAUUCUAUAUAGCUUUUCAUACAAUCUAUAUCACAAAAUUCUAUAUAGCUUUUCAUACAAUCUAUAUCUCAAAAUUCUAUAUAGCUUUUCACACAAUCUGUAUCACAAAAUUCUAUAUAGCUUUUAAGGCAAUCUGCAUUUGGGUAGAGAGCAAGAAAAAUUUGGAAGUGAAUUGAUAACUAAAGAGUGUGUGAAAAUAUAUGUUGGGUGUAGGAAGGAUGUGAGGUUUUGUGAUGGGGUAGAAGGCUUUGAGGUUUCCAGAACUGUAAGCUCCAGAGUGUUAAUGACCCUUUGCUGUCUCAACUGUUUUACAUCCCGCCUCCAUUGGCUGGAAGGGCUUCAGUUGUAUAACACUCAGUACUGCUAUUAAGGGUCUCGUAGUAAGGGGAUUGGGAAGUAACAAUUCCUAUGUUCUAUGAUGAGAGAAAUAUUCCAGUAAAGAGUUUUUAAAAAAUCUGAAGGAAGAGUUUUUAAAAAAUCUGAAGACAACAAAAGAAAAUGAGCUGUGCUUGUUUAAAAAAACACAAGCUGAAGAUUAAUUCUUGCCAAGAGUGACAGAGCAUCAAAGGUAGAAUCAGACUAUUUUAUGAAGUUGGACAACAGUGACACAAGGAGGUUUAGUUAUGUUUAUAUGUCAGUUUUCUAAUACCUGAUUCUGGUUCCAUUGUUUUUUCAACACAGAGCUUAAACAAUUAAUAAAACCACUUAUGUGGACCACAUUUCUGAAUGAAGUAUUUUGUCAGGUUAAGCUUUCUUCGGUUCUCUGAUACUAGUAAAUUAUUGGACUGCCACUGAGAUAUAUGUUCCCUUUUCCUGUUACAUAAAUAGUUUUUUAUUUUAUGUAAAUACUUCUUGUACCAAACCUGUCAAGAAUUUCACUUAAAAAAAAAAAAGUCAGUCAUAACAAUUAACAAGCUUGUUUGCUAGCAUCCAACUAAAAAUUAUUUCUGUCUGAAAAGCCUGUCAUCAGCUUUUCCCCUCCAUCCACCACUUGGGUUUCUUGUAGUCUUGAGCUUAAGGACUUGACCUCCAUAAUGAAAGAAGGGAUUGAAAGAAUAUAAUUCUUCAGUUCUUAAAAUUCUGACUCAGCCUGGUGUGAGUUUUCAGUGCAUUAAGUGGCUGUUGAUUCCUGCCAUGGGACUGCUGUUAUAGAACUGUAAUCUUGAGCCAUAUACAGUGAUUUAAGAUAAGAAUUUAUUUUAACUAUAUUUUUUUAAAAUAGUAACUGUUGAACUACAAGUAAUGCAUAUUUUAAGUCUACCCUGUAGUAGUAUUUGUAGAUAGUAUUUGGCAAAAACAGAGCCCUAUUGGUUUUUACCAUACAAAAAGUUACUGAGAGAGUUUUUUAUGUUAGGAGUGGACAUAGUUGUAUGACAGUAGUUUUUGGGUGUUAGUGCUAGUAUUUUUGACUGGCAUGGAAAGCAGUGCUAGAGCUAUGAAAAAAUGCAGUGCAUUCACAGCUGGAGUUUGGCAGGGAACCCAGAGCUACCAGAAAGUCACUGCUUUUGACAUUAUUUCUGGGGUUACAGUCAGUAACACUCAUGAAGACACUGACAAGAAGAUUACCAUUUGGAAUGGCGAGCAGAGAAAUAUAACUGCUCAUGAUUUAUUGAUUGGGAAUUAGUUGAGGCUAUUUUGAUGGAAGCCACUACUUACAGCAAUAAUCUGAUGAAAUAUAAAUGAAAUUACUAACUUUGCAUUCCUCUAUUUUUUUUUUAAUUUAGCAAACAUAUUUAUAAAUAUCAAAGACAGCUGGUUUGAAUUGUUUGCCUAAAGAUGAUGGUCUCUAGAAACAAGGGCACAAAUGCAGCAAGUAAGACUAAAUGCUGGUCACUUCUAGAUUAAAAUUCCACUGCGCGGAAGAGAUGUUAAUAUGUUGUAUGCAAUAUAAAAUGGGUCAAUAAAACCACAGCUGUUGCAAUUAGACAUGUGAAGUACUGGAUGUGCUGAGACUGUGCUUCAGCUCGAAACAUUAAUUGUGAUCUGCAGAAUGUUUACAGAUGUUUGAAUACCCAAAGAGAGAGAAUCCAGACUGUCCUAAACUGUGUUGGUGAAAAUGUCACCUUUGAAAUAGUUAGUGUUUAUAAUUCACUGCACAUUUUGAAGCUUUGUAGAAGAUCCUCAAAUCAGUGAGGCCGAUGCUACUCACUUUGUUGCAAUGACACCUGACCUUUUGUUGGUGUACUUUGAAGCAAGAGCUGCUGAAGAGUGCAUGGAGGAAAUGCAUGGUAAAUUUCACUUUGUAAUCUCUAUUUGCUUGCUGUGAUGGCAUGGUAGAAAUGAGAUGAUGCAGAAGUCAAGAGUCAUCCAGCUCUCCAGCUCCCACCAAGUUCUGUGCAGCCAGUUCACAUUAAAAAGCUGGUGUGCACAGAAAGUGCAAAACUUGACUGAAUAAUGAAGAACUGUGUGUUUUGGUUUAUUUAACCAAAACACAGUCUGGUAGACUCAAAAUAUCUAAUUAGAAAUACAAGUCUGUAGAACAUUUAUUUUAUUCAAAUUGUCCAUUUAUAGGCUUAGAAAUGACAAAAGCAUUGCUACCAACAUUUAGUAAGCUUUGGAACAAAACUUAAUUAAUCCUGAAAUAGUUAUUCUGUGUUCCUCAGCAGAUAGCUACAAAAGAACCACGGGAAAGAGUAUGUUGCUACCUAUACUAUAAGGGAGGAUAAAUGAGGGACUGACACCCUCCUCACAAAACAGCAGCAGCCUGGGUCUGUGGCAUUUGUACACUCAGGUAGUGCAUCCUUGUGACCUGUGAUGAUCCCUUUUCAGGAGCAACAGAGAAAGACCCAACAGGAAGACCAAGUUAACUGCUCUCUUCAGAGCCUGAGCAUGCCAGGAGUGUCCAUGACUUGGCUGACGGUCACCAUCAGUAAUAAAUCCACCACCAUUAAUAAAUCAUCUUUCCAAACCCCUCUGCUCCACCUAUCUAAAAGGUCAGGAAUCCCUAUUUGCCAGAUCCUCCUGCAAGAUGGUUCACUUGGCUUGACUUAGAACAGAAUUUUCUUGUUUUUUUGGCUUUGACUUAUGUUUAGUUGCUCAUUCUGGCACUACAAAUGAAUUGCCCAUAACCUGCUGACAGCCAGCAAGUUUGGCAGCUUCUGCAGAGUCCACGACCUUCCUAGAAGAAAACAGCUUGCUGUACAAGAGCACUGAAUUUCUUAACUCAGGCAAGUGUUCCAAAGGAGUUCUCCAAGGUUAGACAUGGAUGACAGAAGACCACUUGAAAGUUAACAGUACCUCUGUAAAUCAAGGUGUAAGCAGACUGUAAGUAGUCCAAUAUGAUCCUUACCAGCAGCUGUGUGUUUUUCUGAUUUAAAAGUAAAUACUGACUAUAGCAAGGAGGUCUGAUACAGUGUGCCUGAUUUCCUAAGGCUUACGUAAGUUUCUUCACCGUAGAAAUAAUCCCACACUAUUUUUAACAUGUUCCUCACCUUGAUAUGAUUGCUACUACUUCCAUAGUUGGGUUAUAGAGAUGACAGUGGAGUAUAUGCUAACACUAUUCUCUGUAGAGCCCAUUACACAUAUGGAGAACAAUGAGACAUACCUGAUGUGAUCUAAUACUCAUUUGAAUCAUUACUUGCAAACAUCUGGUUAGAUCUGAUUGUGUACCUGUUGUAAACAUAAAAUUAAUGUGUCUUUACAUACAGAUAGUGGCAAUAGCCAUUAAAACACCUACCUUCCUGGGAGAGAGGCAAAGAAGGGCUUCCUAAACUUUAAUGGAGAUACAGAGCAAGUAUGGAACACUUUUAAAUGCUGAAGAGAAUAGAAGAUCCUUUAACUAAAAGCAAGUGUCCAAAAGAGAAUUAACAAGAAUUUUAAAACAAUCGUAUAACCAAUCUUUGUCUGAACAGCAGGGCAAAAGGUGUGGCUGCACUUGGCCCACCCAUGGGAAUGGACUGGUGAGACUUCAGAGGGAUGUCAGCUGCAGAGAUGGCAGAUCACAGACUACAGCACUCCUCCCGAGCAGUUAGCGUGUGCUGUCCAUCUAGGAACUGCUCAGAAGUGAGAAGGGACUCAUGCACACAGGCCAAGGGAUUCUCACCUGUGAAGGAGAAACUUACGUUGAAGAAUGAGGUCAGGUGCUUAGGGGCUUAAAGUUCUAUCUGUUAUCUCUCUUUGAUUCUCUGUCUAAAUGAAUGGUCCUGUAAGGUGCCAGAGAAAGGAAGGUGAACAACAGUUUUUGAGCUUUUUGAGUUGGGUUUUGGUUUUCUUCCAUCUCUGCAUUGGUGCACCUUAUCUAGAUACAAUUCAUCAGUACUAACACUGGGGCAGCCUCAACAUUUCUGUAUCAGUGAUGACUGUUCAUAUAACCUACCAAUAAAAAGAGUGGGAAACAGAAGGGAAGGGUGUCGAUAUUAUAAGAAGCUUAUCAAAUAGCAAAGCAGGAGGGGACAUCUGGAGGGGAGAAUCAACAAUUAUUAUAAAAAUAGGCUGCUUCCUUAACCAGGAUGGAGAAAGAUUUGACUCAUUGCUGAACACAUUACCACUGCUAAGUUUCUGGAGUAGAAAACAUGACUUAAGAACUGAGAACUUCGAGAAAACAGGCUGGGACAUGAUAAAAGGAAAAGUUGAAUAAUCAGAGUAGUGAAAUUGGCAUGAUUUACAGCUUAUGAUUAUUAACUUUUUAAAAUUAAAAAACCUCCUGAGUAAUAACAACUAAGUUACAGAACAAGAUCUUUAGAAAUAAAUUCAUCUGGGACAAAGGCAAACAAAAAUACUUUAGGUUACAUUAAAUAAAAUAGCAUCCCAGAUUGAAAAAUGAAAAUAAUUGAUUCCAAAGGAAGUGAAAAGCAGUUACAAAAAAUGCAGAAUUAGAGUUCUAAAUGUUCAAUAAGUAAUCCAGAAGAGGCCUCUUCUUUUAAUACUGUAUGCCUUAUAUUGGUUAUUGAAUGAACUAAGGAAGAAUCCAAAAAUCAACAGGUUAGUAAACAUGGAGGUCAAAGUGAGCUGAGCAGGAAUGCUUACCGGUGUAAUAAUAUGUAGAAUUAAAGAUAAAAAUUAUGUUUUCAGUUGAGAGACUUUUUAAUCAGUCCAAUCAAUGGUACCUCAACAGUAGAUGUGUUAUCUGAUGCUUUAGUACUUUGAACUGUUUUUAGCUUAUGCUAUGCUUGGAGGAAUUCCUGACUUUUUUUCUUGCAUGCUCUUAAGUAUAAUUUCCCUUUCAUAACAACUGAAAUGGAAACCAAUUAUGUAGCAAUUGCAAAACUUAAGAUAGGCAUCUUAACAUCUGUGUAUCUUAAGCUUUGCAAACAUACAAGAGUUGAAAUGUAUUACUUUUUGCCAUGAUGCAAGAUCUUGUUUUUAUGUUAGAUAGCAAAACUUGCUACAGUUGUAACUUGCAUGCUGUUCCAGUUCAUAAUCAGAUACCUUAGCUCCUUCAAAUACCCUACAUAAUGUUAUUUGGCAGUGGUAGAGAUAGAUUUCCCUGAAAAAUGACCUGAUUGUGUACUUAGAUAAUCACAAACCUGCUUGGACAGUAGAGAUCCAGUUUGCAGCAGCUGUGAGCAGUAUGUGGGUACAAGUCAAGUGUUAACAGAUGUGCCAGAGCAGCGUCAGUCAGAUCUGUUACACGUUAAGUUCAAUGAAUACUAGAAGAACUGAGCAGCACCUUUUUACAUUUCUAACCAAUAAAUGAGGUACUGGGGGAUCAGAAAGCAAAUGACACACUAGCUCUCCAAGGCUCUAGACUGUUCUUUGGCCAGUGUUGAAGACCAGACUACUCUGUUAGAGGGACCACUCAGUCUGACCACUAAGUACUUGUGUUCUUCAUUCCUGCCUGCCAGCAGAAGAUAAGAAUCAAACCCUUGGACUGCUGCUUUCCUGCAUGACAAGAAUGGUACCUCUAUUGCAGUGAUAUCCAACCAGCUGAGAAAGUGAAUUUAGUAAGUCAUUACUUACUAAGCCUCUGCAGGCCUUGGGAUUAGUAGGAA